UAUCUCUCUAGCUCAGUUUUAGGAGACCCA
rnacentral:piRNA from 1 species